rnacentral:tRNA from 2 species
GAGCCAGCUCAGCAGGCCGCGGGCGACGCGUCGGACGGCCGCCGGUUCAACUCCGGCCGGCUCC